rnacentral:misc_RNA from 1 species
AAGUCGUAACAAGGUCUCCGUAGGUGAACCUGCGGAGGGAUCAUUACAGAGUUCAUGCCCUCACGGGUAGAUCUCCCACCCUUGCGUAUUCAUACCUUUGUUGCUUUGGCAGGCCGCCUGGGCUUAUGCCUGGCCACCGGCUCUCGGGCUGGUGCGUGCCUGCCAGAGGAUCUCCAAACUCCAGUUAUCAGUGUUGUCUGAGUCUUACACAAUCGUUAAAACUUUCAACAACGGAUCUCUUGGUUCUG